rnacentral:rRNA from 1 species
CGGCAUGCUUAACACAUGCAAGUCGAACGAAGACCCGGAGCUUGCUCCGGAUUUCUUAGUGGCGAACGGGUGAGUAACGCGUGGGAAUCUACCUUAAAGUGGGGAAUAACUAUUGGAAACGAUAGCUAAUACCGCAUAAUCCCUUAGGGGCAAAGGCUUCGGCCGCUUUUAGAUGAGCCCGCGUUAGAUUAGGCUGUUGGUGAGGUAAUGGCUCACCAAACCUGUAAUCUAUAGCUGGUCUGAGAGGACGAUCAGCCACACUGGGACUGAGACACGGCCCAGACUCCUACGGGAGGCAGCAGUGGGGAAUAUUGGACAAUGGGGGAAACCCUGAUCCAGCAAUGCCGCGUGAGUGAUGAAGGCCCUAGGGUUGUAAAACUCUUUCAGAAGUGAAGAUGAUGACGGUAACUUCAGAAGAAGCUCCGGC